AAGAAUUUGGACCGUCGGCCUACCGAGAAAUCACACCCGCUCGGUGGAAGAUCUUCUUUUUGUCGA
rnacentral:pre_miRNA from 1 species